AGGCACUUUGUAGGGAUCAAACAC
rnacentral:siRNA from 1 species